UUGUGAGAAACGUAAAAAUAAGUAAAGUAAAAUAAAUAUAACUAAUAAAUUUGUGAUGAAAGUGUCCAAGGCGGUGUACUCUCCAUUAAUGAAUGGAUGGAGUAAGGAGAAACCGUCCUUAUUUUAGUUUCGUGACAAUGAACAGCAAGCGAACUCGGUCGGUGCUGCCAAAAGGUACUGUUCCUACUGUUUCUGAAAACGAGGUGACCGUCACAAAGCCAGUAUUUAUUGCAGAACCUGUGUAGAAAUAAAAACUGGGAACCGCGAAGCCGGGCACCUGGCUAAUACCUCGGUUCUGUUCGUUGAUCUGGUCUUGGGAGUUGUCAAAUCUACACGUUUCCCUAUCAGUAUUACGAUUGUAUCAAAUAUCUUUCUUCUAUUCUUGUUUCGUUUUUCUUUUUUUUUUUUUUUAGUUUUAUUACUAAAAUAACAAAAAUUCUUUUAUUUUUCAGGUAAAUCUUCAAUUGUGGAAGUCUUGUAGACAAUUAGAAAGGUUACGCGCUGUCACCUUGGUCUUUUAAUGUGUUCCGGAUUUAUCCAAGGAAGCAGAUACAAGAUCUAAUAUUGGCUGGUGUGAAUCAUCGAGUUUGGCUGGUAGUUUACUAUUGAUUGGUGAUCCUGAUGAUGUUUUUAUUUCAAAUUUUUAACAUUUUACAUUAUUUUUCUACAAAUUGUGAAAUCAAGAAAAUGUUUUGUAUUUGUAAAAACAUCUAUAA